UACGGAGGGUGCAAGCGUUAUCCGGAUUCACUGGGUUUAAAGGGUGCGUAGGCGGAUUAGAAAGUCCGUUGUGAAAUCUCUGAGCUUAACUCGGAAAUUGCGGUGGAUACUAUUAGUCUUGAAUACUGUGGAGGUUAGCGGAAUAUGUCAUGUAGCGGUGAAAUGCAUAGAUAUGACAUAGAACACCAAUUGCGUAGGCAGCUUACUACACGAUCAUUGACGCUGAGGCACGAAAGCGUGGGGAGCAAACAGG
rnacentral:rRNA from 1 species